UAAAGACUAGUCUAAUAAAGACAGUUGAUUUCGACUCAACCAAUCCCACUUGAAGGGUCUUUAU
rnacentral:tRNA from 1 species